GUGGUUUUUGUCGAAUUCCAUGAGAUGUGGAAACGGGGAAAAUCAUCUCAUGAAAUACUCAAGCAAUCGCUAGUUUCUCUACUAGAUGUCUUGAAAAUUUUGUGAGCAACUGAAUCACGAUUCCGUAGCUGACCGAAAGAGGGACUGCAAUAGAAUUCGUCUGCUAGGCAGAGAAAAACAUGGAACGUCUACUGCUUGACUUUUUAUUAGGUGAGACAUCUCUUUAUCUGUUUGUACUAACAAAAUAAAAUAUUUCGUAAUGAACAGCAGAAAGAAAACGUCAUGACUACUCAGUUUGGGAAGUUUAUGACAAUUAGCCAUCUUCUAGUUUACAAUAUUCACACUUAAUGUUGAUCUAUUUAUAUUUUGGAAGGGAAAAGUGGGGUCAUGUUCUAUUGACUGUCACCGUUUAACCAGAGAUCAGUUACCAAUCAGGCGGCGCUACCUUAACUAAAUUUUCAAUGGACCAAUCUACCAUCUUAAAAUAUAAAUAAUGAACUAAACGCGAUGGACUGAUUCAACUAACACCAUACACAUUCUAAUAGAAAAAGGUCCCAAAUGGACACCAACUACCAGAGUAAGAAACGGGAUGAAAAUGCCACUUACUUGACUGUGUGCAUUGCAAUGAAACCUGUAACCCAUUAACACAAUAGGCCUAUACAAUAAAUUUAACGACGCGACUGACAAAUUAAA
rnacentral:lncRNA from 1 species